AACGUAGGAGUCAAACGUUAUCCGGAGUUACUGGGCGUAAAGGGCGUGUAGGCGGUUUGUUAGUCAGGCGUGAAAUUCCUGGGCUCAACCUGGGGACUGCGCUUGAUACGGCAGAGCUAGAGGAUGGAAGAGGCUCGCGGAAUUCCCAGUGUAGAGGUGAAAUUCGUAGAUAUUGGGAAGAACACCGGUGGCGAAGGCGGCGAGCUGGGUAGAUACUGACGCUGAGGCGCGAAAGCGUGGGGAGCAAACAGG
rnacentral:rRNA from 1 species